ACCUUAGAGACCAACUAAGUAAGUUAUUGGUAUGAGCUUUUGUGUGCAUGCACACUUCUUCAGAUACCAAGUGUGCAUGCACACGAAAGCUCAUACCAAUAACUAACUUAGUUGGUCUCUAAGGU
rnacentral:miRNA from 1 species